rnacentral:tRNA from 1 species
GCCUGGGUGGCUCAGCAGUUGAGUGUCUGUCUUCAGCCCAGGGCGUGAUCCUGGGAGUCCUGGGAUCGAGUCCCACUUCAGGCU